rnacentral:lncRNA from 1 species
GCAUCAUUCAUGACAUAUGCAGCAGGCAAAGCAAUCACAUCGUACUUGAAAGGCCUCGAAGACCGGUAUUUAACACGAGGGAGGAGUCUGUGUUUUGCAUGAUUGACUGACAGUGAGUGUAGUUUAGCUUCCUUUCUGGGAUUGUUGUGUACCAUCAAAACUGACUUAUUGACAUGUAACAUGCUAAGAAUUCAUGUGUAUGUUAUAGAAAAAUGCCAUUUGGUGGUAAUUGAUAGUGAAUUUUCGAUUUGCUCAUAUGACAUCAGCAAGUGAUUGAAUUGUGUCCACUAAUGGCGACGCAAAUGCUUUUGAUAGAGCAGUGGCCAUGUGAUCAUCCUUCACCUGCAGAAAUAUAGCAUUAAUCAAUCUUAGGGUUGGUUUAGAAUAAAGGGGAACGAAAAGGAUGAUUCACAAAGUACAACGAUUGACUUACAACUGGGAUU